AUUGAACGCUGGCGGCAUGCCUUACACAUGCAAGUCGAACGGCAGCGGGGGAGAAGCUUGCUUUUCCUGCCGGCGAGUGGCGAACGGGUGAGUAAUACAUCGGAACGUGCCCUGUAGUGGGGGAUAACUAGUCGAAAGAUUAGCUAAUACCGCAUACGACCUGAGGGUGAAAGUGGGGGACCGCGAGGCCUCAUGCUAUAGGAGCGGCCGAUGUCUGAUUAGCUAGCUGGUGGGGUAAGGGCCUACCAAGGCGACGAUCAGUAGCUGGUCUGAGAGGACGAUCAGCCACACGGGGACUGAGACACGGCCCAGACUCCUACGGGAGGCAGCAGUGGGGAAUUUUGGACAAUGGGCGAAAGCCUGAUCCAGCAAUGCCGCGUGUGUAGAAGGCCUUCGGGUUGUAAAGCACUUUUGUCCGGAAAGAAAUGGCUCUGGUUAAUACCUGGGGUCGAUGACGGUACCGGAAGAAUAAGGACCGGCUAACUACGUGCCAGCCGCCGCAGUAA
rnacentral:rRNA from 1 species